CAAUAGCGUAUAUUUAAGUUGUUGCAGUUAAAAAGCUCGUAGUUGGAUUUCGGAUGGGACUUGCCGGUCCGUCGUUUCGAUGUGCACUGGCCAGUCCUAUCUUGUUGUCGGGGACUAGCUCCUGGGCUUCACUGUCCGGGACUAGGAGCUGACGAGGUUACUUUGAGUAAAUUAGAGUGUUCAAAGCAAGCCUACGCUCUGAAUACAUUAGCAUGGAAUAACACGAUAGGACUCUGGCUUAUCUUGUUGGUCUGUGAGACCAGAGUAAUGAUUAAGAGGGACAGUCGGGGGCAUUCGUAUUUCAUUGUCAGAGGUGAAAUUCUUGGAUUUAUGGAAGACGAACUUCUGCGAAAGCAUUUGUCAAGGAUGUUUUCAUUAA
rnacentral:rRNA from 1 species